AACAAGGACUUUAUCUACCAAAAUGGCUAGCCUUGAUUCAGGCUACUCCUCUGCUUGGAAGGCAAAAUACAUCGGCAGAGAAGUGAAAGGAGAAAUUAAACCCAGCAGGAACACAGAAUGUGACACUUACCUUUUCUGAUUUUGUAAGGGGUGGAAGAUAUCAAGCAGUAACGAGGUGAAUUCCCCAGCAGGUACAACGGAGCAACAAUCCGCAGCGCGCGUAAGCAGGCAGGCUAGCCCUGACAGUGUGCAUGUGCUCUGAAACUGCAAGUUACUAUCAGGGCAACUU
rnacentral:lncRNA from 1 species